GGUUCUAUGGCGCAAUUGGUUAGCGCGUCCGGCUGUUAAAUAUUCUUGUGAUCUGAGUUUAGCAUAUACCGGGAGGUUGAAAGUUCGAGUCUUUCUAGUACCG